GACAGAGUGUCCUCUCUUUCACAAACUCAAAUCUGGUCACCCUACUAAAUGGUCUAUGUUUUACUCAUUCAGUAGGUUGAAUCGUACAGUAAGUAGUAAGGUAAAUAUGUAUAUGUUUCUAUUUGGUUUUAGGUUCUGUCAGCACUCCUUGGGAAGCCUUGUUGAUUCAAAAGCUGUAUUUUUGAUCAGAUUAUGCGUACAUUUCAGUGUGGCGACUUUUUUGUUGUUGUUCCCUGUAGGCUUUAGAGUUGGAGUUAGAGGAGAGGGAAGUUGGCACCAAGAGGGUGCUGAGUGAUCGGGCUGAAUCCACCCAGCUGCUAAAGUCGCAAGUCCAAGAUCUCCAGAGGAGACUUGAGGAGAAAGGGAAUUAACUCACAGAGGCCAACAAGACUAUCGGCGUCCUAAGGGAUGAAGUCCGUGCUCUGCAGAAACACCUGGAUCUUCUUAGAAGAAAGUACCCGCAUGUACAACACCAGAGCUCCCAGCCAUGUCAGCCCAGCCAAGCUAAUGAUGAAGUCAAGACAUCAGUUAUUGUGGACCUCCCAUCCAUGAUGACUCUUUGCACCUCAGAACAUGAACACACGGAGUCCCCAGGCGCUCUCAGUAAUGACACAGAGAAGUCACCGCCAUGGCUGACUCAGGACUCUGAUGUCACGAGGAAGAAAGCGCAUACGUGUAAGCUCGCAAAAGGUGAGGGGCAGCUCCGAUACUUUGGUAUGUCCUUGUUCUUCUUUGUCUGUCUUCAUGCUUAAUUUUGAAUUUUGAAAUUUGAAAUGAUGGCUUUUUAACAACAUUUCAUGUAGUCGUGUUUUGUAGGAAUGCAUGGAUCAACCUACCCUUACUUUUACCUGCACAUCAGAGCCCAAUCCCACUGUCCCUUCAGGCUCCGUCAGUAACACUGAAAGGUCACCACAGCAGCCCCCACUGAAGACAGUAACAGUGAGGCUGGACGACUGCAGACACAAACUGGGACCGCCACGAGUGCGACGACUGCGGGAAGGUCUUGAAAGUGCGUGGCCAGUCUGCGUGCUCACCGCAGGAUCCAUACCGGAGAGAGGCCUUACAGCUGCACCGUGUGCGGGAAGACGUUCACCCAGUCCAGUAACCUUCAAGUGCGCCGCAGAAGGCAGGAUGACGUCAACUCCAAAGUUAGCGCACGCGCUGCUAAAGAAGCACAAGCACGGGACCAGAGCAAGCCCACGGUGGUCGCGCAUGUG